CCUUUGGCUCUUUUCAGGGCCACCAAAUUUGUGUAAGAGAGUUAA
rfam:Aedes aegypti strain Liverpool supercont1.85 genomic scaffold, whole genome shotgun sequence.